CGGAACUUCCUGUUGGACGUGAGGACAAAGGAGAAGCUAAGAAGCUGCAUCAGUAUCUCUGCCUGCAGUAUACUGAUGGAGACGGAGAUAUCUGAAUCAACUAUUUGAGAAAGGGAAGACUUGAAAUAGUGAGCCCAAAGAUAACAUACCUUCUCCUACAGGCCUGAAUGUAAAGGAAUAAGCUGGGGCCAAUGCCCAAAAUAGAGGGACUCUUCUUCAGGAGGUCAGUGAGAAGGGAGCCUGAGAGACCCAAGGAAGAAAUCCCCUGGCCUCUGAGAACUUUGGGGAGUAGGAGGAGAAAACUUGAAGAUCCUGAUACAGAAGCAAGGAUGUUUUCUAAGUCUGCACACACAGAACAGGAACAAUCCAGCGCACUUCCAUUGUUACCAUCUCUUUACCUGAAUCCCUCUGUGUAGAGGGAAGUUGGCUUCACUGAGCAGUUUCCCAGUGACUUAGGCUGGGAACCAACAUUGUGGGAGGUAAGCAGACUUCAAUACAAUUAUCUGGCUGGACAAGUUUUUUGGUCCGUUUUCCACGCGACCAGGCAAAAGCUGUUGUCUUAGACUGAGUCUCCAUACAGGUGUGACCUCACAUCUUGCAGCUCCUAAUAGAGCCAGGCCACCAUGGAAGUGCUGUGGGGGAAGGAGCGGGGUAGGAGAAACGAGAAUGGCCGCUGCACCAAUCGCCAUACUUUCUAAAUUAAUUCUUUGGGUGCUCUACUUGCUCCAGAGGAUUACUUAAGACCUGAGCAAAUUGUUUUUAACGGAUUCAGCAGCACUAAGGGGACAAUACACACCAACUCAUUCUCCAAGGACUGCUUUCAAAUGACACUUAAAUGAAUGCUACAGGCCUUUCCUAUUAACGAUAUGAUAUUUACACUAUAAAAGUCUAUAUGGUCAAUUUAGAGAAGGGAGAAUCACAAUUGACUUGGUUAUGUCUUUCAUGUUGUGAGAAAGGGAGGGGACCUGUGUAGGCCUGGACACAGCAACUGCUUCCUAUAAAGAAGCAAAAGAGCCUCUUUCAGAACUUCUUAGCUCUAUUAUUAAAGGGCAAAUGAUGUAGGUGCUGCCCAAAUGAACUUACUAUGUCAUACUCUGUAUGUACUGCUUAAUUCAUUCUAGGCAUGGGGAGGGGAGAACAUGACAUUUCUUGAGUCCCUUGAGAGACAACAAAUACUUCCUUCAGAUUUUAAAAAUGAAGAAAGCCAGCCAAAGAUAAAUGAUUUCCCAUUUCACUCACCUGAACAUACAGUUCUCUAAGCU